ACUGUCAGGUGGGCAGUUUGACUGGGGCGGUCGCCUCCCAAAAGGUAACGGAGGCGCUCAAAGGUUCUCUCAGUACGGUCGGAAAUCGUACGUAGAGUGUAAAGGCAAAAGAGAGCUUGAUUGCAAGACAUACAGGUCGAGCAAGGAUGAAAAUCGGACUUAGUGAUCCGGUGGUUCUGCGUGGAAGGGCCAUCGCUCAACGGAUAAAAGCUACCCUGGGGAUAACAGGCUUAUCUCCCCCAAGAGUCCACAUCGACGGGGAGGUUUGGCACCUCGAUGUCGGCUCAUCACAUCCUGGGGCUGUAGUAGGUCCCAAGGGUUGGGCUGUUCGCCCAUUAAAGUGGUACGCGAGCUGGGUUCAGAACGUCGUGAGACAGUUCGGUCCCUAUCCGUCGCAGGCGUAGGAAAUUUGAGAAGACCUGUCCUUAGUACGAGAGGACCGGGAUGGACGUACCUCUGGUGU
rnacentral:rRNA from 1 species